GACGAAGGGGGCUAGCGUUGUUCGGAAUUAUUGGGCAUAAAGGGCGCGUAGGCGGCUUGGCAAGUGGAUGGUGAAAUCCCUCGGCUUAACCGAGGAACUGCCGUCCAAACUGCUUCGCUUGAGACCGGGAGAGGUGAGUGGAAUUCCCAGUGUAGCGGUGAAAUGCGUAGAUAUUGGGAGGAACACCAGUGGCGAAGGCGGCUCACUGGACCGGUACUGACGCUGAUGCGCGAAAGCGUGGGGAGCAAACGGG
rnacentral:rRNA from 1 species